GGGGUUGUGGCUCAAAGGUAGAGCACUCACCUAUCAUGCGUGAGGCACUGGGUUCUGGGUUCGAUCCUCAGCACCACA
rnacentral:tRNA from 1 species